AAAAAUCACAAUUAUACAACAUCCCUAUGUUGUAAAACUAAACCAAUGUCCUCUCUUGUGUUUUUAAACAGGAGAAACAUCUCAGUUUGAUCGCACCUUCACAGGCCGGGAUGAUGAACAUCGUGGGUCUGGUAUGGAAAUAACAGUCCCUCUGUGGUGAGCUGGCCCAGAAAAUGUCUGAACCUUCAGGAGUCUCCACAAUCAUCCAGAAUUAAUCCAGAACAGCCGUGCAGCAGAACACACCUAGAACCAGAAAGAGGGAGAACCACCAGUCUGGACGAUUAUGGAGAGAGACGAUAUACCAUCUGAACCUGUAGCUCUUGUGCUCAUUUCUCAUUGAUGAAUGUGCUGUGCUGGUGAGGAUGAUGAGGAUGAAGUGGCUGAUGAUACAAAUCAACUUCAAAUGAAGAGAUCACCAGAGUGAUGCCUCCUUCAGGGAAGCAGUGGUACUACAUGAGUCUGUCAACAGGUAUGUUUAUAAAGACAUACUACAAAUAUUAUUAAUGCUUUAUGCAUACUGUGCAUGUAUUUUCUGUAUGCAUGAAUUACCCAAAUAACCAACUACAACAGCCCAGAUAUGCAGUAGAGUGCUGUACAUAGACAAAGAAACUAUGAAGCUGGAGUGUUUAAUUCUCACUUCAGUUUCACUUUCAGUAUGUUUAACUAUUAAACACAAUAGUCUGACUUUCUGAGGAGUUUCUCACACUG
ensembl:lncRNA